rnacentral:lncRNA from 1 species
GUGGCAGCCCUCGGAAUCACGGGGAGGUCACUGCCACAACCUGGCUCUUUGUAGGGGGGUCCAACUCCAGGCAGGGGAUCACUGCCUGAGGUACCUCUUUAGAGUCCUGAGUGUGGCUCCUGGACCAUCCCCUUCCCACUGCUUGUCCACGCGCUUGCACCGCUAUGAGCGAUGACGGCAAAGGAAAAGAAAAGCGUCCUCCCUACGAGGUGGUCUGUUUCCCAGUGGCAGGGGGAGCUACGGUACACAAGCACAGGUUCACAUUUAUGAAGCAGCCAAUAAGAAUUCCCAGCCUGAGAGGACCUUGGAACCAGAAGGAAUUGGAGGAGAUUUAAACAAGCUGACCCAAGGAAAGCACAAGAUCUUUCUAUGCAUUGAAGAUCACCAAAUCAAAGAUAAAAGUGCUCGACCAUUAUGGCCUAUGGCAAACUCGGGCUGGCUGAAGCAUCCUUCUCUUCCAUUUAGAACCCUGGUGAGGCCCCUUAGACCACCACUGGGCUGUCCUCCUCCCUCCUCAGAGACAGAGUUCUGGGCUGGGCCAUGGAGGUGUCUGUCAACACGGCAGUAGUCCUCGUUCUAUGGAAAACCAGCUGUUCCCUGUGACACGACUCCAUUCCCGCAGCUGCCUGCUAUUCAGCUGGGCUGACGGACAGCAGAGCACAGGGUUGGAAGACCACCCUCUCAGACAGGUUUACCAAGAAGCUCACUGAGAGGCGACACAAACGGCCAAGAA